rnacentral:misc_RNA from 1 species
AAAAUAGACUAUAGGUAGCUACAGCAUGAGCUCAAGAUUCGAAUCCUUCAGGUGGGUUGCCAAUUAAUAUAAAAGAAGAAAAUGAAAAAUUCCAUGGAAUUUUUAUAUAUAUGCACCAGCAAUAAAGGGGCCUCUCAACAUCAUUAGAUAGCAAAAUAUGACUACCAAAUAAAGAAGAUAGCAAGAAAAGAUCUAUUUUGGGGCAAUUGACAAAGUUUUUGAUCAGGCGUUGGUCUAAGCUUUCUCGUAAUUGGCUAAAGAUUAAUGUUGAUGCUACCACGACAAUUCCAGAUUUUCGUUUUGGUCUGGGAUUCGUAGCACGGGAUUGGAAUGGUAGCUUCUUGGCAGCAAAGAAUGUGGUAUUGCAAGGUAAUUUAAUGGCAAAGGAGGAUGAAGCUGUUGGUAUCAAAGAGGCACUCAGUUGGGUGCUUUCCAAGGACUAGUCGCAAGUUAUUAUUGAAUCUGAUGCUUUAGGAGUAAUUCAGGCUCUGAAGAAUCUCUUUUAUCAGGAUUCAUCUUUUUUUGGCUUGCUUAUUUCGGAUUGUAAGUCUCAAUUGUCUGAGAUUGAUUCAGUUAUUUUUGCACAUGUUUAUAGGUCUGUGAAUGGUGUGGCUCAUAGGUUUGCUAGAGCGACCCAUUCUGUGUUAGAUGUGGGUGAAUGUAUUGACCAUCCACCAGAUUUUAUUGUUCAA